UACAAAGGUUUGGUCCCAACCUUGAAAUCAGUUCCUACCCAACUUAUACAUGCAAGUAUCCGCGCCCCAGUGAAAACGCCCUUAUCCUCGAUAAGGAGCUACCAUCAGGCACAAUCGCCAGCCCAAGACGUCUAGCCCCGCCACACCCACAAGGGUCUUCAGCAGUAAUCAACAUUAAACAUUAACAACAGUUAGAUUUAGUUAGGGCCCUCAGAGCCGGCCAACGUGGUGCCAGCCGCCGCGGUUACACCACAGACUCAAAUUGACCUCACUCGGCGUAAAGCGUGGCUAAAGAUUUUCCCCCCCCCCAGAGCCAAACUUAAACCAAGCUGUAAAAACCUUGUUUAACAUAAACUCAAGACGAAAGUUACUCUGGCAUACUUGACCCACGACAGUUGGGAAACAAACUGGGAUUAGAUACCCCACUAUGCCCACCCGUAAACCUUUAAUUACACCAAACCCGCCAGAGAACUAUGAGCCAAGCUUAAAACUCAAAGGACUUGUCGGUACCCCACACCCCCUAGAGGAGCCUGUCCUAUAAUCGAUAACUCCCGCUAAACCUCACCCCCUUUAGCUUCCCAGCCUGUAUACUUCCGUCCUCAACCCACCACGUGAGCGUAAUCCAGCUGGUCCCCCGCCCACACGCAUUAACAUCAGGUCAAAGUGCAGCAAAUGAGGGGGAAAGAGAUGGGCUACAUUCUCUAACUUAGACGAUACGAAAAGCCACCAUGAAACCUGGCUAGAAGGCGGAUUUAGAAGUAAAGCGGGAAUAGAGUGCCCCCUUUAAUCAGGAACUGGGAUGCGAACACACCGCCCGUCACCCUCCUCAAAACAUUUUACAAGUAAUUAACAUUUCAUAUACCCUAAAGAGAAGGCAAGUCGUAACAUGGUAAGCGUGCCGGAAGGCGUGCUUGGAAA
rnacentral:ncRNA from 1 species